AUUGAACGCUGGCGGCAUGCUUUACACAUGCAAGUCGAACGGCAACACGGACUUCGGUCUGGUGGCGAGUGGCGGACGGGUGAGUAAUACAUCGGAACGUACCCAGUAAUGGGGGAUAACUAUCCGAAAGGAUAGCUAAUACCGCAUACGCCCUACGGGGGAAAGAGGGGGAUCGCAAGACCUCUUGUUAUUGGAGCGGCCGAUGGCUGAUUAGCUAGUUGGUAGGGUAAAGGCCUACCAAGGCAACGAUCAGUAGCGGGUCUUAGAGGACGAUCCGCCACACUGGAACUGAGACACGGUCGAGACUCCUACGGGAGGCAGCAGUGGGGAAUCUUGGACAAUGGGCGCAAGCCUGAUCCAGCAAUGCCGCGUGCGUGAAGAAGGCCUUCGGGUUGUAAAGCGCUUUUGUCAGGGAGCAAAUCCUUGUGGCUAAUACCCACCGGGGAUGAGAGUACCUGAAGAAUAAGGACCGGCUAACUACGUGCCAGCCGCCGCAGUAAUAC
rnacentral:rRNA from 1 species